UUACCCGAAGUUUUUAAAAUAUUGACAUUGGAAGUCAAAGUGCGGGAUAGUCUAAGUUCUUGCGGGUAAA
rnacentral:tRNA from 1 species